rnacentral:lncRNA from 1 species
AUGAGGCUUAUUAAACAUGUAGGAGAUUUGCAAUGUCCUUUGAGCUAUAGGGUUGUUCUGGUUAUUCUUGUAUAUAAUUUGGAUACUAUUAUGCAUUUAUGCUCAUUAAUCCGCAUGACUUAAAUAUUUUGUUUGAUCCCCGAGAUAUUUUCAUUUCGAAUGUGCUGUGUUUAGAGUUGUAAAAUUACCAAUUUUGUUAUAGACCUAUUCAUGCAUCUUUUGGAGUCACUUUUUCGAAUGUGCAUAGGCUAGCCGUAGCGGGCUAUUAACAAAAAGUGUGAUGCUGAUGAUAUGGCAUUGUUUGUGUUGUCCUGCAUCUUUUCUUGCUUCCGGGUCUGCCGGUUACACAAUGACUGCUGAUGACGCUAUGAAGGUGAUACUGAUAUUAGUGCGGCUGCUGUUUGCUUAUUAUAUCUUCUUAGUUUUGUGUUUCCGUCUGAUGAAAAUUCUGACCCAUGAACUGGCUUUGAAUUGGUAAAUUGGUUUCUUCUGUUCUUGUUCAUCUCUCAAAAGCUGACUCAGUCCGUACUUACGGAUUUUGGUGCUGAUGAUAGCUCGCUAGAUUUUAUUAUCAAUUUACUUUAACGGGUCUUGCAUGGCUAUUGUUUACAAGUUUUUUUUGCUAUUGUUGGGUCAU